rnacentral:rRNA from 1 species
UUUUUAAAUUGAGAGUUUGAUCCUGGCUCAGGAUGAACGCUGGUGGCGUGCCUAAUACAUGCAAGUCGUACGCUAGCCGCUGAAUUGAUCCUUCGGGUGAAGUGAGGC